rnacentral:misc_RNA from 1 species
UGGAUGUAUGUCAUAGCAAUAGAGACAAGAGCAGUUGUAAUCAGAAGGAGAAUGAACACAACAAAAAGAAUGCCAUAUAUUGUGUAUAUCCUGUAACCCCAAACACUAGCAAAUAUGUAAUAUAGCUGAAUAUAGAUGACACCAAAAGGCAAAAGUCCUGCCAUUGCCAUUUGGGUUAUGACACGCCUGUACCAACGCUGUGGGGGAACCUCACGAGGACACUUUGUGGUGUGACAAGGAGCUUGAAACUCAGACCUUAUUCUCUUCCCAGAAAUCGCACCUAACACAAGUGACGGUAAUGCUAGAAAAACCCAGAGGAGAAGUAUAACCACAAUUGUGCCCAAAGGAAGUGCUGCAGUAGACCCAUAGUUGAAUGCAACAGUAUUAAGGAAGAAAAAGGUCAGCAACAAGGGGCAAGAGAACAUUCCUCCCGUCAGCAAUAGAACACUUAGCGAGUUG